rnacentral:rRNA from 1 species
AAUGAACGCUGGCGGCAGGCCUAACACAUGCAAGUCGAACGGCAGCACAGUAAGCGCUAUUUCUUCCGGGGGGGGACUGGCGGGCGAGACAGGUAUACAUCCGAAUCUAGUUUGUCGGGGGGGUCGACGUAGGGAGAAUUACGCCACUAGAACAUAAGGCGAACGGGUGGAAGCAGGGGGACUCCGGACCUUGCGGCGGUGGAUGAGGCGAUGGCUGAUUGGGUGGUUGGCGGGGUAAAGGCCCACCAAGGCGACGAUUCGGAGCUGGGCUGGGUGGAUGAUCAGCCACACUGGAACUGAGACACGGCCCAGACUCCGACGGGAGGCAGCAGUGGGGAAUAUUGGACAAUGGGCGCAAUCCUGAUCCAGCCAUACCGCGGGGGUGAAGAAGACCUUCGGGUUGUAAAUCGCUUUUGUUGGGAAAGAAAAGCUGCAGGUUAAUACCCCGCGGUACUGACGGUACCCAAAGAAUAAGCACCGGCUAACUACGUG